UUACACGAUCCAUUUCUAAUUUGGUGCCGAUGUUUUGUGCGUUAAUUUGUCUCAUAUGGCAUUAAUAUUAAUCACAGCAGGUGCUUUUCCAGUCACCCUUGUGCACUACAAACACAUUCACUUUUCUGUCAAUGCUAAAAGGAAAAAGAGCUUGUUUAAUCAUUCACACGACACGUUUAAGUGUCUCCACCAAAUUCUCUUGCAUUAAUUUUGUGUCACGGUGACACAGGAUUUUAAAACUUGAUUAGCACCAGUGGACUCAGUGUUUUGGUGGCCGCUCAGCCCACAUUUGUGAAAUUUGGACCUCAUCCGUGGUUGUAUUUCAGUGCAACAAACCUUUGAAAGCCGCUAACGAAGAAAGAAGACCAGUCCGCACCAUGGAAAAAAUGAAUCACUGAUCAUGACGCGAUUAUAACAAGCUUGUUAUCAAUGUAUUUGCUUCCAUUCAGAGCAAUGGGGCGCUUCAGAUCAAGGCCAGCACAGUUUGUCAGUGUGGUAAUUUUCCUGUUAGCACGGUUUCAGCAGUUCUCAACACAAACAACAGAAGGCCCGACAACCUUGGGUGGAGCUCAAGUGAAUUCAACAGGACAGCCGACAACUUUAGCUUCACAAAAUCUAGAAUCCAGUCUACAGCCAAAUGCAACUGAGCAACCCACAACUUCGGCGCUACAAAACAGUUCCACUGUACAGCCAAACGCAACUGUACAGCCCACAACUUUGGCACCACAAAACAGUUCCACUGCACAGACAAAUGCAAGUGAACAACCCACAACAUCGGCACUACAAAACAGUUCCAGUGUACAGCCAAAUACAACUGAACAACCCACAACUUUGGCAC